UAAAGGUUUGGUCCUAGCCCUUUCAUUAACUCUUAGCAAGCUUACACAUGCAAAUAUCCUUGCCCCAGUGAGAAUGCCCUCUAUAUCAAAACGAUCAAAAGGAGCUGGUAUCAAGCUCACUCCAGCAGUUGCUCAUAACGCCUUGCUCAACCACGCCCCCACGGGAUACAGCAGUGAUUAAGAUUAAGCCCAUGAACGAAAGUUCGACUAAGCUAUGCUAAUAACAGGGUUGGUAAAUUUCGUGCCAGCCACCGCGGUCAUACGAUUAACCCCAGUUAAUGAAGCACGGCGUAAAGCGUGAUUAGAUAUAAACAUAACCAAAUAAGACUAAGCUUAAACUAAGCUGUAAAAAGCCCUAGUAAUAAUAAAAAUAGCCAAGCGAAAGUAGUCUUAAAAGUUUUGAACUCACGAUAGCUAAGACCCAAACUGGGAUUAGAUACCCCACUAUGCUUAGCCCUAAACAUAAACACUCCACUAACAAGACUGUUCGCCAGAGUACUACUAGCUAUUGCUAAAAACUCAAAGGACUUGGCGGUGCUUUACAUCCCUCUAGAGGAGCCUGUUCUAUAAUCGAUAAACCCCGAUCCACCUCACCACCUUUAGCAACAUAUCAGCCUAUAUACCGCCAUCUUCAGCAAACCUUCACAAAGCCUCACAGUAAGCAUAAUAAUAAUACAUAAAUACGUUAGGUCAAGGUGUAGCCUAUAAGGUGGAAAGAAAUGGGCUACAUUUUCUAUAUAUUUAGAACAAUUAACCCACGUUAGCUUUAAUGAAACUUAAAGCCCAAGGCGGAUUUAGUAGUAAGCUAAGAGCAGAGAGCUUAGCUGAAUUUGGCAAUAAAGCACGCACACACCGCCCGUCACCCUCUUCAAAUUCUAYAAACAAAYRAAYWAUAUUUAAUUAUAUUUCUCAGUASUAUGAGAAGAGAUAAGUCGUAACAAGGUAAACAUACUGGAAAGUGUGUUUGGAAUAAU
rnacentral:ncRNA from 1 species